UUUGUCUUUUCCUUCUUUGUUUGCACUGAUUUUACAGUUGAAGAUAUUAUUCAACAGGAGGUUGAAACUCCAUUAGGCUGAUUCUGACAAAUUACCUCGAUGGGGUAGGCUUACCAGCUCAGCUUACAAGCCCAGCCACAGUCUCUGCCUAUAGAGCCCUGAUUUGUUGUAGGGGCCCAUUUGAGAACCGCCUAGCCAAUGGCCCAACAUAUGUCCCUGGGAUUCAUUGUUAAGUCAACAGGGAGAUUCUACACCCCAAAAAGUAGAUACUAUUUCAAACUGGCAGAUAUGGCAGCGCUUUUGCAGGGCUGGCUUUGAAACGCCGGGUCUAAGGCCUGAUCUGGAAUGUGGCAAUGAGGGGAGGCAGCCCAGACCUUUAAGCUUCCUAUUCAGAGCCUCUGCAAAGGAUCCUCCAUAUGGCCCGAUGCCUCAGUCUUUUAACCCUCCGCACAACCCCCCCAUGCAGAAAUAACUGCAUCAAUGGCCUCACUCUGCUGCCACUCAAGAGUAUUACACCCCUUUUCAUGCUUGACUUGGUCAAAACAGGCGGGUGAAAUGUACGCCUUUUUGAUAUUCCUCUCCCCGCCCUCUUUGUGUUGAUCCCCGCUAGCUCUCCCUGCCCAUCACUCUUUCCUCUCCUCUCAACGGCCAACAGAUUCCCGUCCGCCGAACCCAGGCUGUUGGUUGGCUGUUGCUGGUUUGUGCCGGGUCACUGUUGAUGCGGCCCCUUACACAGACAACAGACCUCCCCAUUGGCUAUAGAGCCCCUUCUGUUGCUGAAUAGAUGGCAUGUCUUUGGAAACUAUAGCUUCUCCUGUAAAUCUGCCACACAGAGCGCAGCGCAUUCAGGGAAGCUUGGCUUCUGUUUAUCCGUGGGUGGAGGGGGUGUUGUGACAGAAUAAAAGGUCCCAAUACAUGCACGUAUGUAUUUCUAUUGAUAUUCACAUCGCAAAGUACAGAACAGUGAAUCUUCCACCUCUAAUAUAUACAGAACACGCUUCAGUGAAGGACGCAUGAUGGGAAUGGCAUUGAAGUGGCCGAGGUGUGACCCGGCCUGGGACGGGUUGUCAAGUUGCUCUUCUCUUUUCGGUGGCGGUGCCGUCACUUUGCGCUCAGCACAGGUGGCGACCCAAACAGUCUCGCCAGGCGGCGGAAGAAGCCAGCGGGUGAAGCGGUGCUCGGUUCACACCUUCUAAUGAAAAACCACGGCUGUUAACGCUGCUUGUCAGCACUCUCCGGGCCUUCUCCGGCCAACGCAGGCUCGCACUAAACUCCCACUGAAUGUCCCGGGUUAAUAUAUGAAUGUUUUUAUAUUUGAUCCCUGCUUGCGGCCAUUGUGAUAGCUAAUCCUGGCGUGCCAGCGGGUCGCCGGACGGGAGGCCUGGGCGCUGGGUAAUUAAAAGGCAGGAGAACAGCAGAAAGCGUGUUUUAUUUGUGUUCCAUUUGUCGGAUCGCCUGUGCAGUCGCACUACACGGGAGAGCGUGAAGGGGGAGGAGGAGGAGGAGAUUGGCUCUGCUCAGUGUCCACUCCCCUGACAGUUCAGCGGCUCUAGUGGUGGGCUGGCGUUUACAAUCCAAAGUUUCCAUAGACAUUUUCAGAGAUUCACCAGACAAUCAUGGCGGCGAUUGUUUCCAUUGGAAAACUUAAACGGCUGCAAACCAAUUAGACAAAUAUAUUCACAUGUAAGUGCACACACAUAUUCAUGCACACACACAUACCUCCCCCACCCACACACACACACACACACACACACACACACACACACACACACACACACACACACACACACACACACACACACACACACACACACACACACACACACACACACACACACACACACACACACACACACACACACACACAAUUGAGGAUAUUAUAGCCAUUAUUAGGGCACUAUUUUGUUUAUCUCAUUGUUUUCUUCUGUUUUCUUUAUAUGUCUCUUCCUUGGAUGGUGGGAAACAUGAAGUUUACAGCUCUCCACUGGGCAGCCAAGCAGGGCCGUCUCGACACGGUGGACUUGAUGUUUCUGUCCGGUGUGGACGUUAACGUCAGAUCGGUGAGUAGUGACAAGGUGUGUGUGUGAGAGAGAGAGAAUAUGGGGUGGGGCCAGGGGAUGAUUGACCUCCUGACAGGCAGCACUAGACAGGUCUGGUCAAAAGAAACAGGGCACCGCACUGACUGAACCUGAGGAGCUUUGAAUAAUAGUUUUAUUGAAAUUUAUUGAAGAUUGGAGAAAAUACCUUCCCUCCCUCCUUGUUCUCGGAACGUACAGUUCAAAAACAGAUCAGAGAAAUUCUCUCUCUUUUACAAACACUCAAACACACACACACACACACACAAACACACACACUCAUACACGCAAACACACAGAGUCAAACACUUGAUCUAAAGCCUGCAGGGGCUUUUUGAUUAUCCAAUUAUAUGAUUCCUGCUCUCACUUAACCCCAAGGUUAUAAACAGCGGACUCUGCAUGCAGGCUUUCCUCUCCAAUUACUCAACUAGUCUCUUCUCCCCAUUCAGACAAACACACACACACACACACACACACACACACACACACACACACACACACACACACACACACACACACACACACACACACACACACACACACACACACACA